rnacentral:rRNA from 1 species
UACGAAGGGGGCGAGCGUUGUUCGGAUUUACUGGGCGUAAAGGGCGCGCAGGCGGCCAUUCAAGUCAGGCGUGAAAGCCCCGGGCUUAACCUGGGAGGUGCGUCUGGGACUGGGUGGCUGGAGAUCGGGAGAGGAGAGUGGAAUUCCCAGUGUAGAGGUGAAAUUCGUAGAUAUUGGGAAGAACACCGGUGGCGAAGGCGGCUCACUGGCCCGGUACUGACGCUGAGGUGCGAAAGCGUGGGGAGCAAACAGG